CUGUUGUUGGGACAGCGGGGGACAUUA
rnacentral:rRNA from 1 species